UACCCGGGAGGCUUAGGUGGGAGGUUUGCUCGAGGCUGCAGUGAACUGUGAAUGCACCACUAUAUUCCAGCCUAGACCACAGAACAGGACCUUGUCUAUAAAUAAAGAAAUAAGUAAAAAUAUAAAUAAAAAUAAGUAAAAAGAAAUGUAAGUAAAUAUAAAUAUAAAUACAUAUAAAUGUAAAUAUGAAUACAUGAAAACAAACAAUUUUUAAAUUUAACAUCACUGAGGGCAUCCUAUCCAUCUCAUUUCAUGAUUCCAUUACAUCAUUUCAGUUAGAUGAAAUGAUCAGAUGACUUGAGAUGAGAUGAAAUGACGAGAUGAAAUGACGAAAUGGUGAGAUGAGAUGAGGUGAAGUUUUGAGAUGAAAUGGUGAGUUGAAAUGAUGAGACGAAAUGAUAAAAUUGAAAAGAAAUUGAAAGGAGAUGAGAUGAGAUGAAAUGAGAGAAGAUGAAAUGAUGAGAUGAAAUGAGAUGAAAAAUGAGAUGAAAUGAUGAGAUGAGAUGAAAUGAAAUGAAAUAAUGAAAUGAAUUAAAUGAGAUGAAAUGAAAUAAUGAAAGGAAAUUAUGAAAUGUAAUGAUGAAAUUGAAAUUGAAAUGAGAUGAGAUAAGAUGAAAUGAUGAGAUGAAAUGAUGAAAUGAGAUGAGAUGAAAUGAGAUGAAAUGAUGAGAUGAAAUGAUGAAAUGAAAUGAGAUGAGAUGAAAUGUAAUGAGACGAAAUGAAAUGACGUAAUGAAAUGAAAUAAUGAAAUGAGAUGAAAUGAAAUAAUGAAAUGAUGAAAUAAUGAAAUGGAAAUGAAAUGGAAAUAAUGAGAUGAGAUGAAAUGAUGAGAUGAGAUGAAAUGAUGAGAUGAAAUGAGAUUAAAUAAUGAGAUUAAAUGAUGAGAUGAGAUGUGAUGAAAUUAUGAGAUGAAAUGAUCACAUGAUAUGAUGACAUGAAAUCAGAUGAAAUGAGAUGAAAUGAUGAAAUGAUGAGAUGAGAUGAAAUGAGAUGAGAUGAAAUGUAAUGAGAUGAAAUGAUAUAACGAAAUGAAAUAAUGAAAUGAAAUGAUGAAAUGGAAUAAUGAAAUGAAAAUGAUGAGAUGAGAUGAAAUGAGUUGAAAUGAAGAGAUGAAAUGAGAUGAAAUGCUGAAAUGAUGGGAUGAAAUGAGAUGAGAUGAGAUGUGAUGAAAUGAUGACAUGAAAUGAUGAUGAAAUGAUGAGAUGUAAUGAUGAAAUGAGACGAGAUGAAAUGAAAUGAAAUGAGAUGAGAGGAAAUGAAAUGGUGAGAUAAAAUGAUGAUAUGAAAUGAUGAGAUGAAUGAUGAGACGAGAUGAUGAGAUGAGAUGAUGAGAUAAAAUGAUGAGAUGAAAUGAUGAAAUGAAAUGAAAUGAUAUAAUGAAAUAGUGAGAUGAAAUAAUGAGAUGAAAUGAAAUAAUGAAAUGAAAUGAAAUUGAAAUAAAAUUGAAAUGAGAUGAAAUGAUGAUAUGAAAUAAGAUGAAAUAAUGAAAUAAAAUGAUGAAAUGAUGAGAUGUGAUGUGAUGAAAUGAGAUGAGAUGAAAUAAUGAAAUGAAAAAAUGAAAUGAAAUUGAAAUGAGAUGAGACGAUAUGAGAUGAGAUGAAAUGAUGAGAUGAAAUGAUGAGAUGAAAUGAUGAAAUGAGAUAAGAUGAAACGAGUUGAUGAGAUGAUGAGAUGAAAUGAUGAGAUGAAAAGAGAUGAUGAGAUGAAAUGAAAUGAAAUGAUGAUAUGAAAUGAGAUGAAAUGAAAUUAGACGAAAUGUAAUGAGAUGAAAUGAAAUGACAUAAUGAAAUGAAAAAAUGAAAUGAAAUAAUGAAAUGAGGUGAAAUUAAAUGAGAUGAUGAAAUUAAAUGAUGAAAUGAAAUAGUGAAAUGGAAAUGAAAUGGAAAUGAUGAGAUGAAAUGAUGUGAUGAAUGAUGAGAUGAAAUGAUGAGAUGAGAUGAAAUGAUGAAAUGAGAUGAGAUGAAAUGAUGAGAUGCAAUGAUGAGAUGAAAUGAGAUGAGAUGUAAUGAUGAGAGGAAAUGAUGAGAUGAAAUGAAUGAGAUGAAAUGAAAUAAUGGAAGGAAAUUGAAUUGAGAUGAGAUGAGAUGAAAUGAUGAGAUAAAAUGAUGAGAUGUAAUAAGAAGAAAUGGCGAGAUGAAAUGAUGAAAUGCUGAGGUGAGAUGAGGUGAAAUGAUGAGAUGAAAUGAGAUGAAAUGAUAAGAUGAAAUGAUGAGAUGAAAGGAUGAGACGAAAUGAUGAGAUGAAAUGAGGAGAUGAGGUGAGAUGAGAUGAAAUGAUGAGAUGAAAUGGUGAAAUGAUGAGACGAGAUGAGAAGAAAUGAUGAGAUGAAAUGAGAUAAGGUGACAUGAAAUGAGAUGAAAUGAAAUGAGGUGAAAUGAAAUGAAAUAAUGAAAUGAAAUGUAAUAAUGAAAUGAAAUUGAAAUGAGAUGAGAUGAAAUGAGAUAAAAUGAUGAGAUGAAAUGAUGAGAAGAAAUGAGAUGAAAUGAUGAAAUGAAAUGAUGAAAUGAUGAGAUGAGAUGAUGAGAUGAAAAAUGAUGAGAUGAAAAAUGAGAUGAAAUGAGAUGAAAUGGCGAAAUGAUGAGAUGAGAAGAAAUGAUGAGAUGAAAUGAGAUAAGAUGAGAUGAAAUGAGAUGAAAUGAAAUGAGAUGAAAUGAAAU